rnacentral:rRNA from 1 species
GCAUAACGCGAAGAACCUUACCCACCUUUGACAUGUACGGAAUCCUGCAGAGAUGCGGGAGUGCUCGCAAGAGAGCCGUAACACAGGUGCUGCAUGGCUGUCGUCAGCUCGUGUCGUGAGAUGUUGGGUUAAGUCCCGCAACGAGCGCAACCCUUGCCAUCAGUUGCUACGAAAGGGCACUCUGAUGGGACUGCCGGUGACAAACCGGAGGAAGGUGGGGAUGACGUCAAGUCCUCAUGGCCCUUAUAGGUGGGGCUACACACGUCAUACAAUGGCCGGUACAAAGGGCAGCGAAGCCGCGAGGUGAAGCCAAUCCCAUAAAGCCGGUCGUAGUCCGGAUUGGAGGCUGCAACUCGCCUCCAUGAAGUUGGAAUCGCUAGUAAUGGCGCAUCAUCUACGGCGCCGUGAAUACGUUCCCGGGUCUUGUACACACCG